rnacentral:rRNA from 1 species
UGUGCUAAUACCAAAUAAGCCUUUACAGGGAAAGUUUUAACGCCGAAAGAUGAGCUGCACUUGAUUAGCUAGUUGGUAAGGUAAAAGCUUACCAAGGCAACGAUCAAUAGCUGUUCUUAGAGGAAGACCAGCCACAUUGGGACUGAGACACGGCCCAGACUCCUACGGGAGGCAGCAGUGGGGAAUCUUGCACAAUGGGGGAAACCCUGAUGCAGCGAUGCCGCGUGAGUGAAGAAGGCCCUUGGGUUGUAAAACUCUUUCGUCGGGGAAGAAAAUGACUGUACCCGAAUAAGAAGGUCCGGCUAACUUCGUGCCAGCAGCCGCGGUAAUACGAAGGGACCUAGCGUAGUUCGGAAUUACUGGGCUUAAAGAGCUCGUAGGUGGUUAAAAAAGUUGAUGGUGAAAUCCCAAGGCUCAACCUUGGAACUGCCAUCAAAACUUUUUAGCUAGAGUGUGAUAGAGGUAAGUGGAAUUUCUAGUGUAGAGGUGAAAUUCGUAGAUAUUAGAAAGAACACCAAAUGCGAAGGCAACUUACUGGGUCACUACUGACACUGAGGAGCGAAAGCAUGGGUAGCGAAGAGGAUUAGAUACCCUCGUAGUCCAUGCCGUAAACGAUGUGUGCUAGACGUUGGAAAUAUAUUUUUCAGUGUCGCAGCGAAAGCAUUAAGCACACCGCCUGGGGAGUACGACCGCAAGGUUAAAACUCAAAUGAAUUGACGGGGACCCGCACAAGCAGUGGAGCAUGUGGUUUAAUUCGAAGAUACGCGCAGAACCUUACCAACACUUGACAUGUUCGUCGCGAGACUAAGAGAUUAGUCUUUUCAGUUUGGCUGGACGAAACACAGGUGCUGCAUGGCUG